rnacentral:rRNA from 1 species
CCCCCCAUUGUAACACGUGUGUAGCCCCGGACGUAAGGGCCGUGCUGAUUUGACGUCAUCCCCACCUUCCUCACAUCUUACGAUGGCAGUCUUGUCAGAGUCCUCAGCAAAACCUGUUAGUAACUGACAACAAGGGUUGCGCUCGUUAUGGCACUUAAGCCGACACCUCACGGCACGAGCUGACGACAACCAUGCAGCACCUUCACAGAUGCCUUGCGGCUUACGGCUUUCACCGUAAUUCAUCUGCAAUUUAAGCCCGGGUAAGGUUCCUCGCGUAUCAUCGAAUUAAACCACAUGUUCCUCCGCUUGUGCGGGCCCCCGUCAAUUCCUUUGAGUUUCACCGUUGCCGGCGUACUCCCCAGGUGGAAUACUUAACGCUUUCGCUUGGCCGCUUGCAGUAUAUCGCAAACAGCGAGUAUUCAUCGUUUACCGUGUGGACUACCAGGGUAUCUAAUCCUGUUUGAUACCCACACUUUCGAGCCUCAAUGUCAGUUGCAGCUUAGCAGGCUGCCUUCGCAAUCGGAGUUCUUCGUGAUAUCUAAGCAUUUCACCGCUACACCACGAAUUCCGCCUGCCUCAACUGCACUCAAGAUAUCCAGUAUCAACUGCNAAUUUUACGGUUGAGCCGCAAACUUUCACAACUGACUUAAACAUCCAUCUACGCUCCCUUUAAACCCAAUAAAUCCGGAUAACGCUCGGAUCCUCCGUAUUACCGCGGCUGCUGGCACGGAGUUAGCCGAUCCUUAUUCAUAAAGUACAUGCAAACGGGUAUACAUACCCGACUUUAUUCCUUUAUAAAAGAAGUUUACAACCCAUAGGGCAGUCAUCCUUCACGCUACUUGGCUGGUUCAGGCUCUCGCCCAUUGACCAAUAUUCCUCACUGCUGCCUCCCGUAGGAGUUUGGACCGUGUCUCAGUUCCAAUGUGGGGGACCUUCCUCUCAGAACCCCUAUCCAUCGAAGACUAGGUGGGCCGUUACCCCGCCUACUAUCUAAUGGAACGCAUCCCCAUCGUCUACCGGAAUACCUUUAAUC